AAAUCCAGAAAAUUCUUUUAUUUAAAUAUUAUUGAUACUAUAGUAGUCUUCCCUCAAAAAUGUUUUCCAAGCUCCCCAAAGAAAAGUUUCUAUUUUCUGCUGUUACUUGUACAUCUCCUGUCAUUUUAUUUGCAUCCUACCCUUUAGCUAUACCUUCUCCAAAUUCUUAGGCACCCAAGUCCAGCUUUGACUGUCAAAUUUGACUUUUUUCUUCUCUGAUAGUUUACUUUGUCAUAUCAAUUUUUCCUUGUAUAUCUCACAUUCAUACCCUACCACUUAUUUACAUUCAACAUUGUAAAAAUGUAAAUAACCCCUGUAGUCAAACUAACUAGGUUUAUAGACUGAUUCUGUUAAUUUCUAGUUGUGUGACUUAAUAAGUUACUUGGCCUAAGUUCAGUUUUCUCAUCUGAAGAAAAGGGAUAAUAAUACCACAAAGGCUGGUUAUAGUAAUUUAAAUAGUUAAUAUGUAUGGAAGUAACUAGCACAGCAACUAAUAGUCCAUAAAAUGAAUUAUUUAUUUCCCUUCCUCUUCUGUUGCCUUCCCUUCUUUUAUUUUAGCUCCACAUAGUAAAUUCUUCCUACGAUUUUUCCUCUUUUAGUCUGCUCUAUUUGCCACUGAAGGUUUAAUCACAACUGUUGGCUCUGAUUGAAUAGAUCUCUCCUGAAAGAUCAUUAAUAAUUUCCCAUUGCUGUGAUACUCUAAAUGCAGAAAAUGCCAAAUAUCUUUAUUUUCAAUAUCAAAUUAAAUAGGUUUGAGCUCUUUUUGUCAAGUUAUCAAGAAGACCAAUAUCAUAUAUUUUCUGGAAUUUUUCACCCUUCCUCUGGUCCUGCAAGAAUUCCAGAAGUCCUGAGAUACCUCAGGUCAUUGUUCUACUAUUUCUUUUUGUGAUCACCCAAUUUAGCUAUUAAGCACUAGUUUUCCUCCAUCUGUCUGUCACCUUGGUUCUAACUGAAACAAGAUGCUUUUAGGCUUCUACCAUAAACAGUGCGACCAUGUAGUAGCGGAGCAAGACUGAUAAAUUACAAGAAAUGUUUAAUAAGAAAUAAAAGACUUAAGGAAUAAAGAAGCAAUGAUGAAAAACAUAAUAACUGAAAUGAAAAAUCCAAUAAAAGGAACCAAUAGCAGAAUAUAGGAGGCAGAAGAAUGAAUAAUGGAGGUGGAAGUCAGAAUGGGGGAAAUCCAUGAUGUAGGAAAGAAUAAAGAGAAAAGAAUGAAAAGAAAUGAGGAUGGUCUAGGAGAACUCUGGGACAACAUUAAAUGCACCAACAUCUGAUUAUAGGGGUACCAGAAGGAGAAGAGAGAGAAAGGGCUGGAGAAAAUAUUUGAAGAGAUAAUAUCUGAAAACUUUACUAACAUGGGAAAGGAAUCAGUCAUUCAAAUCCAGGAAGCACAACAAAUACCAUGUUUAAUAAGCCCAAGGAGGAACAGGCAGAGACACAUAUUAAUCAAACUGAGCAAAAUUAAAGAGAAAAUAUUAAAAGUAUCUGGAGAAAAGCAAUAAAUAACAUACAAAGGAAUUCCCCAUGAAGUUAUCUGCUGGUUUUUCAGCAAAAACUCUGCAGACCAGAAGGAAGUAGCAUGAUAUAUUUAAAGUGAUAAAAGGCAAAACACUUCAAGAGUACUCUACCUAGCAAGGCUCAUUCAGAUUUCAAGGAGAAAUCAAAAGCUUUACAGACAGGUUAAACCUAAGAGAAUUCAGCACCACCAAACCAGCUUUACAGCAGUUGCUGAAGGAACUUCCAGGUGGAAAAGAAAAGCCACAACUAGAAACAAGAAAAUUAUAAAUAAGAAGGCUCACCAGUAAAGGCAAACAUAUAGUAAAGGUAGGAAAUCAUCCAUACACAAAAAUGAUAGCAAAACCAGCAAUCAUAAGAAAAGGAGGGUACAAAUGCAGAAUACUGGAAAUGCAUCUGCAGUUAAGAGAUCUUGCAAUUCCAGUCAUGGCUCAGUGGAAAGGAAGCUGUCAUCCAUGAGGACACAGGUUCCAUCCCUGGCCUUGCUCAGUGGGUUAAGGAUCUGGUGUUUCUAUGAGCUGUGGUGUAGGUUGCAGAUGCAACUUGGAUCCCACAUUGCUGUGGCUGUGGCAUAGGCCAGCUGCUACAGCUCUGAUUCAGCCCUUAGCCUGGGAAGCUCCAUGUGCCUUGGGUGUGGCCCUAAAAAGAAAAAACGGGAGUUCCCGUCGUGGCGCAUGGUUAACGAAUCCGACUAGGAACCAUGAGGUUGCGGGUUCGGUCCCUGCCCUUGCUCAGUGGGUUAAUGAUCCGGCGUUGCCGUGAGCUGUGGUGUAGGUUGCAGACGCGGCUCGGAUCCCGUGUUGCUGUGGCUCCGGCGUAGGCCGGUGGCUACAGCUCCGAUUCAACCCCUAGCCUGGGAACCUCCAUAUGCUGCGGGAGCGGCCCAAGAAAUAGCAACAACAACAACAGCAACAACCAAAAAAGACAAAAAAAAACAAAACAAAAUACCCCACCCCCCAAAAAAUAAUCUGGUAUAUGUAUAGACUCCUGUAUCAAAACCUCACAGUAACCACAAACCAAAAAUCUACAAGAUAUAUACACAUAAAUGAGAAGAACAAUCCAAGAACAACACUGAAGAGUCAUCAAACCACAAG
rnacentral:lncRNA from 1 species